rnacentral:rRNA from 1 species
GACGUAGGGUGCGAGCGUUUGUCCGGAUUUAUUGGGCGUAAAGAGCUCGUAGGCGGCUCGUCGCCGUCGACCGUGAAAACCCGCGGCUUAACUGCGGGCUUGCGGUUGAUACGGGCGGGCUAGAGUUCGGUAGGGGAGACUGGAAUUCCUGGUGUAGCGGUGAAAUGCGCAGAUAUCGGGAGGAACACCUAUGGCGAAGCAGCUCGCUGGGACGUACUGAGCUGGAGACGCGAAAGCGUGGGGAGCAAACAGG